rnacentral:rRNA from 1 species
CAGGGGUAAACCUGAGAAACCCGAAAGGUCGAAAGAGGAAAUUCAUUCGCGUUUCGAUGUUGAAGUUGAGCGUUUGUAUGACGGAUGACGUUUCGGCGUCGUCUGCAUCUUGUGCUUUUCGAAUUGACGUCGAACGCGUGCACUUUUCCUCUAGUAGGACGUCGCGAUCCGUUGGGUGUCUGUCUAAGGCUCGGGGUGGAGCCCACUUGAUUUUAUAUCGUGUGGACCCUCGAUGUCCCGACAGACUCGCUCGACGGUAUACUAAUGGCGCGGGGCCGCUACUUCAGUUAGCGUUCGGCCCGUAGCAAGCAUGUUCUGUGUUUGAUGGCGAUCGGACCUAGUGCCGAUUCUGUCCCGGAGCAACUGUUGGUUACGGUGUUCUCGAACAGACCUCGUUUACGAAACGCCGAUCAGCGACGCUUUAGAUUUGGGUACUUUCAGGACCCGUCUUGAAACACGGACCAAGGAGUCUAGCAUGUGCGCGAGUCAUUGGGAUACAACUAAACCUAAAGGCGUAAUGAAAGUAAAGGUUUACCUUGCGUAGACCGAGGGAGGAUGAGCGGUUUGCCCUUAAAAGUGACCGCUCCGCACUCCCGGGGCGUCUCAUUCUCAUUGCGAGAAGAGGCGCAUCAAGAGCGUACACGCUGGGACCCGAAAGAUGGUGAACUAUGCCUGGUCAGGACGAAGUC